GAUGAACGCUGACAGAAUGCUUAACACAUGCAAGUCAACUUGGACUUCGGUUUGGGUGGCGGACGGGUGAGUAACGCGUAAAGAACUUGCCUCACAGAUAGGGACAACAUUUGGAAACGAAUGCUAAUACCUGAUAUUAUGAUUUUAGGGCAUCCUAGAAUUAUGAAAGCUAUAUGCGCUGUGAGAGAGCUUUGCGUCCCAUUAGCUAGUUGGAGAGGUAACGGCUCACCAAGGCGAUGAUGGGUAGCCGGCCUGAGAGGGUGAUCGGCCACAAGGGGACUGAGACACGGCCCUUACUCCUACGGGAGGCAGCAGUGGGGAAUAUUGGACAAUGGACCAAGAGUCUGAUCCAGCAAUUCUGUGUGCACGAUGAAGUUUUUCGGAAUGUAAAGUGCUUUCAGUUGGGAAGAAAAAAAUGACGGUACCAACAGAAGAAGUGACGGCUAAAUACGUGCCAGCAGCCGCGGUAAUACGUAUGUCACAAGCGUUAUCCGGAUUUAUUGGGCGUAAAGCGCGUCUAGGUGGUUAUAUAAGUCUGAUGUGAAAAUGCAGGGCUCAACUCUGUAUUGCGUUGGAAACUGUGUAACUAGAGUACUGGAGAGGUAAGCGGAACUACAAGUGUAGAGGUGAAAUUCGUAGAUAUUUGUAGGAAUGCCGAUGGGGAAGCCAGCUUACUGGACAGAUACUGACGCUGAAGCGCGAAAAGCGUGGGUAGCAAACAGG
rnacentral:rRNA from 1 species